rnacentral:rRNA from 1 species
UACGUAGGGUGCGAGCGUUGUCCGGAAUUAUUGGGCGUAAAGGGCUCGUAGGCGGUCUGUCGCGUCGGGAGUGAAAAACUCAGGGCUUAACCCUGAGCCUGCUUCCGAUACGGGCAGACUAGAGGUAUGCAGGGGAGAACGGAAUUCCUGGUGUAGCGGUGAAAUGCGCAGAUAUCAGGAGGAACACCGGUGGCGAAGGCGGUUCUCUGGGCAUUACCUGACGCUGAGGAGCGAAAGUGUGGGGAGCGAACAGG